CAGGAGGCAGGGACUUCACAAAGCCGAAAUGACUUGGUUAGUUGCCUGUGUUCGCCAUGGAAAUAAGGACGCUAACAGACACUGGACAUUGUGGAAUGCGCUUGCCUGCGUGGGUUCAAGUGUGUGUAUGUGCACGUCUCUGAAGAGUGAGCGUGUGUGCAGGCUGGCCGGCCACCUCAAGACCUCAAGGGUUCUUCUGGAGGACGGCUGGCGGGCACGCCUCUGUAGGACUUGGCAGCGCUCAGACAGAACCCCUGAGGAGAGGCAUCAACUAACUAGAGAAAACCUCCCUCCUUCCUGCCUGGGGAGGAGCCGGCCUGAGGAGGCCUAGCCUCCCACCAAGGGCUUCUUCACGGACAAAUGCUCUGCGCCUCAGACUUCUGCCACUGCUCAGAGCCGAAGGAAAAACAGAUCUUGGCUACGUAGUAAUACCGUCUUUGAAGGAAGCGUAAACCCUCCGGCUCUUGGAAGCCACAACAAAACACCAAAUUCUUUUCUAACUAGGGACCGACUAUCCACAAACUCCCACUCCUGGCCCACAAGAGAAGAGCGACGGCUCCCCAGUGUGGGUCAUGGUGUGUGUGUGUGAGCACGCCUGGGCCCCACUGAAAUUCUACAGGAAGACGAAGCAUGAAAGACAGAGCAACAGGACGCCUCACAUCGACAAUGGAACCCGGACGCAGUAGGAAUCGGCUUCUCAGCACAGAGAAAACCUGCGGGAGUUGAUGUUCAUCUUGGUGACCCCAAUGAGCUUGAGUGGCGCGGAGAGACUGAAGGAGGAGGCGAGCGGGGCGUCGCAGAAGAGGUCGGACAGCUCGUCCCGCUCCUCCAGCUCGUAGGUGGCGUCGUUGAGCAUCCGCCGGUGGAGG